UUUGAGGAUUUGAUCUGAUGGAUCUUACCGCCAUCCUCUGUUUCUCUCCUCCACUCAGAACAUCCAUCCAGUCCUGCUCGCUCUCCCAACCGCUCUCUCGCUCCACGAUGUGAGACAGCUGCACUCUAUCCAGCUGCAGUCAUUUUCCCGACCGGACGCCGUAACCACGUCAACAACAGACCAGAGAAGACCAGAUAACUCAGCAAGAUAUUAAAUCCUCACCUCUCGAUCAUGGUGCCAUUGUGGAUCAUCCAGACAUCGCAGCAGGUUCGAGCCAGAAGCAUGGCAGCGAUGAGCACCAGAUACCCCGACUGCACACACACACACACACACACACACACACACACACACACACACACGCGCGGUUUCAUUAAUAAACUGUUUAUAAAGCAUCUAAUCUUCAGCUCACUUUUUACACAUUGUUACCUCUUUACACAACAGCUGCGGCAUCAGAAAUCUUCAGGAUCUUGUAGAUGCGAGAGAUGAAGAGCUGAUCCACGAUGGCUUUGUCCUUCCUGCCAUCCUGCUGAAAAUAAUUUCAGUUAAACUUUAUAAAUGUGUAUAAAACAGCAGAAGCAUUUAAAACGUGUGUAAAGUGUGACAUGGAGCCUCACACAUGAUUCUGAAUGGAGCUUUGAAUUCCUGUUAGACCUGUAGGAAAAAUAAUAAUAAUAAAAAAGAUUUAAUUAAGGAUUUAUUCAGAUUUUCUCCAAUAAAUCAGUUAGAUAAACUCUGCAGAUUUAAAGCUAAAGCAGAUAAACCUGAAUACUGAAUAAGAUCCUGAUCAUCAGUGCAGUAACAGAACACACACUCCCUCACACUGCUCUUCUCUCUCACACAUUUUUCACUAAUAAUAAUAUUAAUAAUUAUAAAAACACACACAUAUCUCACCCAUU